AGCGAACGCUGGCGGCAGGCUUAACACAUGCAAGUCGAGCGGGCGUAGCAAUACGUCAGCGGCAGACGGGUGAGUAACGCGUGGGAACGUACCUUUUGGUUCGCAACAACACAGGGAAACUUGUGCUAAUACCGAACAAGCCCUUACGGGGAAUGAUUUAUCGCCGAAGGAUCGGCCCGAGUCUGAUUAGCUAGUUGGGGAGGUAACGGCUCACCACGGCGACGAUCAGUAGCUGGUCUGAGAGGAUGAUCAGCCACAUUGGGCCGGAGACACGGCACAAACUCCUACGGGAGGCAGCAGAGGGGAAUAUUGGACAAUGGGCGCAAGCCUGAUCCGGCCACGGCGCGUGAGUGAUGAAGGACCUAGGGUUGUAAAGCUCUUUUGUGCGGGAAGAUAAUGACGGUACCGCAAGAAUAAGCCCCGGCUAACUUCGUGCCAGCCGCCGCCGUAAGAC
rnacentral:rRNA from 1 species